GCUUCUCCAGCUAGGUGAUAUGACACCUGAGACCUGUUUGGGAUGGGACAUUCAGAAGUGGGUCCCAGAUAGAGGGAACAGGGACUCCAACCCUGCAGGCCUUGGUGUAGAUGGCCACUUGUCUCCUCUUUCCAGGCCUGUGGAGAAUGACAUCUAGGGAUCUUUGAGGUUGGAUAGGACUACAUGACCAGCUCUGGCCACAACUACAUCCCAUCUCACCCACAGUGGAGCCGUAUGUCUUGUAGAGCACAUCGACAUAGAAUGAGUGUGCCUGAAGAUUAUGUGGGCAAUUGGAGAUGAACAUCAAUUUACUCGGGCUAGAAAAUAAAAGUUUCAUGGAGAUCCUGAUGUAAAACCUAUUUCUUCUUGUGGUUCACAUCACAGAAGUCUGAGGAAAACUACACAGAACAGAGUCCAAACUCCUGUGUAAGAGAUAUUCAGAGGACUGCACUUCAGCCCCCUGGAAGCCAAGAUGGGCUCCAAACCUAAUGAACUGAUGGGGCAGGAGUUUAUUGAUAUAUUGCCUCGUUGGAUGUGCCACAGUGCUACUAAGUUACCAUGCCAAGACCUUGAUAUAUUCCAGGAGAUGAUACAGGCUCCCUGAUGCCAAAUGGCUUAGAGUCUACUGAUACAUGAAUGAGCAGUUACAAAGCAGGAUGGAGACUUGCCACGAGCCUGAGCCUGGUGACUGUUGGAGAGUGACCCUUUCCAGGUUGUCAUCGUGAAAGACUUUCAACUUCUGAAAUCAGUCCAGCAUUAGACAUGUGACAUGACAAGGGAACAUUUUCCUCAUUCAGAAGAUCGUUAAAGGAAAUGAAAGCCGGCAGAUCAUUGUUAUGCAAGAGGAAACAAC